rnacentral:lncRNA from 1 species
GAAGAAAGCACCGAGGCUAGGUCGUUCGCAUGCGCCAUUCGUAAUGUUUACUUCCGCCCGGCCUAGUGAGGCCGUGAAGUAUGUGCACGUGUGAUGUGGUGCUCCGUGUUCUUCGCAGAGGCUACACUGUUAACUGGUGAUUGGGGUGGACAUUAGAGGAGGAUGAGGGGACUGGCGAUGAGGCUGCCCCCGCGGCUGGCGCUGUCAGUGUUGGCGGGCCGCGGCCCGUCUUGCAUUCUGGGGUCCGGAGCGGCGACGCGGAAGGACUGGCAAGAGAGGAACCGGCGUAGCUUCUCUGACCUCUACACUCAACCGUUGCCUGAUUGUGAUUUCGAGGAGUCGUCCUCGUGGACACACAAGAGUCGAUCAGAGCCUACGCGUCACAUAGCAUGUAAGAAAUCGGCCAGGAACCUGGUACGAGACCUGCUGGAGCACCAAAACCCAUCCCAUCAACUUAUACUAGAGUGCAAUCCAGGUCCAGGAAUCCUGACUGGGGCAUUACUUAAAGCUGGUGCCAGAGUGGUUGCCUUUGAAAGUGAAAAGAUGUUUAUUCCACAUUUGGAGUCCUUAAGGAAGAAUGCGGAUGGAGAGUUACAAGUGGUUCACUGUGACUUCUUUAAAAUAGAUCCUAGGUAUCAGGAGCUAGUACGACCGGAUGUGAAUUCACACACAAUUUUUCAGAACCUGGGAAUAAAAGCAGUUCCUUGGUCAGCAGGUGUUCCUAUAAAAGUAUUUGGAAUUCUACCAAAUAAACAUGAAAGACGAUUGCUUUGGAAAAUCCUGUUUGAUCUGUACUCCUGCGAAUCUAUAUACAGAUAUGGACGAGUAGAACUGAAUAUGUUCAUUAGUGAAAAAGAAUUCCGGAAACUAAUAGCAACUCCUAAAAGGCCAGAUUUAUAUCAAGUAUUGGGUGUGCUUUGGCAAGUGGCUUGUGAAAUUAAGUUUCUGCACAUGGUGAGUGAAGUUUUAAUGCCAGAAGAACUAUGUUACUCAGGUUGGUAAGUGCGGACCCUGCACUAAAGGUUUAAAAUACUAAUGUCAUUGUCUUCUGACUUGUUUUGUUUUAUUUUGCAGUAGAGUGUGACUAUGCAGUCCUACCUGGCGUGGGGCUCCUUAGUCCUUCCGUAGGUCGGAAUGGCCUUGAGUUCCGAGACCCUCUGUCUCUGCCUCCUUUACCAGCUCUUGAAUGACAUUAGUAUCGACAUUUGUUUGGCAAUUUCUUUCUCUUAUAAAAGUAAUAUGACUGGCUCAUGAUAAAACUAGGAAACUUGAUUUGUUUGAGAUAUGCUUUACAGAAAGAAGGAAAUUUUCUGAGUCACUAUCAGUUCUGUACCCCAGAAAUCAUUACUAGUGACACUGGUGAUGUUUCUGCUUUCCUUUUUUUUUUUUUAAUAUAGUGAAUAUUUUAUUGCUUUGGGAGUUUUUGUUUGUUGGUUUGGGGGUUUUGUUUGUUUUCAAGACAGGGUUUCUCUGUGUAUCCUGGUUGUCCUGGAACUCCCUCUGUAGAUCAGGCUGGCCUCAAAUUCACAGUUAACCCUCCUCUGCCUCCCAUAUGCUGGGAUCAAAGGCACCACCACCACCCAGUAAUGCUUUGUUUUUUGAGAAAGGUUUCAUUGUGUAAACUCAGACUUUUCAUUCUCUUGUCUCAGCUUCCUUGAGUGCUAGGAAUAUAAAUGUAUAUCACUGUAUUUAGCUUAAUACAUUGCCUUUACCUAUUUGAAUAUCCAAAUUCAAUAGUUAGUCGUUGUAACACUUACUGAGCAUCGCCAGGUAUGAUUUGAAGUGAUUUACCCUUUUAUUUGUGUAAGGUUUUGGGUUUGAGACAAGUGCUUAAAUACAAAGCUACAAACCUUAACCCCUGGGUAUGGGGCUUUUUGGGUUUUUUUUGUUUGUUUGUUUUGUAGGGUGGGAUGGGCUGGGUAUCGUGUAGCCUUUACCUUCCAAGUACCAAGAUUAUAAUUAUAUACCACCACACCCAGAUUUGCAUAGGGAGAUUUUGUUUUUAAGGCAAUAGUAACUUGAGACAUUUUGACAAAAAAGAAUUAACUGAAAGAAUUGAGGAGACUUGGUCUUCAGUUGUGUUCUAUGAACUAAACAAUGUCUUGGGCUUGAGGAGAUAGCUCAAUUGCAAAAGUACUUGUAGUACUUUUGUACAUGUAGUACAAAACAUGAGGACCUGAGUUCAAUUCUUAGCAACCAUGUAAACAGUCCAGUGUAGUGGGCCAUGCCUCUUAUCCCAGGGCUGGGAGGCAGAGGCCAGAGGAUCUUUGGUCCUACAGAACCCACAAGCCCAGGUUCAUGAGAGACCCUGACUUGAAAAAUGAUGUGGAGAGG